GACGAACGCUGGCGGCGUGCCUAAUACAUGCAAGUCGAACGCACUCUCGUUUAGAUUGAAGGAGCUUGCUCCUGAUUGAUAAACAUUUGAGUGAGUGGCGGACGGGUGAGUAACACGUGGGUAACCUGCCCUAAAGUGGGGGAUAACAUUUGGAAACAGAUGCUAAUACCGCAUAAAACCUAAACACCGCAUGGUGUAGGGUUGAAAGAUGGUUUCGGCUAUCACUUUAGGAUGGACCCGCGGUGCAUUAGUUAGUUGGUGAGGUAAAGGCUCACCAAGACCGUGAUGCAUAGCCGACCUGAGAGGGUAAUCGGCCACACUGGGACUGAGACACGGCCCAGACUCCUACGGGAGGCAGCAGUAGGGAAUCUUCCACAAUGGACGAAAGUCUGAUGGAGCAAACGCCGCGUGAGUGAAGAAGGUUUUCGGA
rnacentral:rRNA from 1 species